rnacentral:rRNA from 1 species
UAGUCAUUAGCUUGUCUCAAAGAUUAAGCCAUGCAUGUCUAAGUAUAAGCAAUUAUACGGCGAAACUGCGAAUGGCUCAUUAUAUAAGUUAUCGUCUAUUUGAUAGUACCUUACUACUUGGAUAACCGUGGUAAUUCUAGAGCUAAUACAUGCUAAAAAUCCCGACUUCGGAAGGGAUGUAUUUAUUAGAUACAAAACCAAUGCCCCUCGGGGCUCUCUGGUGAUUCAUGAUAACUCGUCGAAUCGCACGGCCUUGCGCCGGCGAUGGUUCAUUCAAAUUUCUUCCCUAUCAACUUUCGAUGUUUGGGUAGUGGCCAAACAUGGUGGCAACGGGUAACGGAGGGUUAGGGCUCGACCCCGGAGAAGGAGCCUGAGAAACGGCUACUACAUCCAAGGAAGGCAGCAGGCGCGCAAAUUACCCAAUCCCGAUACGGGGAGGUAGUGACAAUAAAUACUGAUACAGGGCUCUUUUGGGUCUUGUAAUUGGAAUGAGUACAAUUUAAAUCCCUUAACGAGGAACAAUUGGAGGGCAAGUCUGGUGCCAGCAGCCGCGGUAAUUCCAGCUCCAAUAGCGUAUAUUAAAGUUGUUGUGGUUAAAAAGCUCGUAGUUGAAUCUUGGGCCUGGCUGGCCGGUCCGCCUCACCGCGUGUACUGGUCCGGCCGGGUCUUUCACUCUGCGGAACCACAUGCCCUUCAGUGGGUGUGGCGGGGAAGCAGGACGUUUACUUUGAAAAAAUUAGAGUGCUCUAAGCAGGCCAAUGCUCGGAUACAUUAGCAUGGAAUAAUAAAAUAGGACGCGCGGUUCUAUUUUGUUGGUUUCUAGGACCGCCGUAAUGAUGAAUAGGGACAGUCGGGGGCAUCAGUAUUCAGUUGUCAGAGGUGAAAUUCUUGGAUCUACUGAAGACUAACUACUGCGAAAGCAUUUGCCAAGGAUGUUUUCAUUAAUCAGGAACGAAAGUUAGGGGAUCGAAGACGAUCAGAUACCGUCGUAGUCUUAACCAUAAACUAUGCCGACUAGGGAUCGGACGAUGUUAUUUAGUUGACUCGUUCGGCACCUUACGAGAAAUCAAAGUGCUUGGGCUCCAGGGGGAGUAUGGUCGCAAGGCUGAAACUUAAAGAAAUUGACGGAAGGGCACCACCAGGGGUGGAGCCUGCGGCUUAAUUUGACUCAACACGGGGAAACUCACCAGGUCCAGACACAAUGAGGAUUGACAGAUUGAGAGCUCUUUCUUGAUUUUGUGGGUGGUGGUGCAUGGCCGUUCUUAGUUGGUGGAGUGAUUUGUCUGCUUAAUUGCGAUAACGAACGAGACCUUAACCUGCUAAAUAGUCAGUAUUGCUAUGGCAGUAUGCGGGCUUCUUAGAGGGACUAUCGGCUCAAGCCGAUGGAAGUUUGAGGCAAUAACAGGUUGACCUACACAGGCCUGUAACAGUGGGCCUCAAUUGAAAAAAAAUAUAACCGCUAGUCCAGUAACUUUACCUCCGUAGGUGAACCUGCGG